rnacentral:rRNA from 1 species
UGGGGAAUAUUGCACAAUGGGCGCAAGCCUGAUGCAGCAACGCCGCGUGAACGAUGAAGGUCUUCGGAUCGUAAAGUUCUGUUGCAGGGGAAGAUAAUGACGGUACCCUGUGAGGAAGCCCCGGCUAACUACGUGCCAGCAGCCGCGGUAAUACGUAGGGGGCGAGCGUUAUCCGGAUUCAUUGGGCGUAAAGCGCGCGCAGGCGGCUCUUCAAGCGGAACCUCUAACCCCGGGGCUCAACCUCGGGCCGGGUUCCGAACUGGAGGGCUCGAGUGCGGUAGAGGCAGGCGGAAUUCCCGGUGUAGCGGUGGAAUGCGCAGAUAUCGGGAAGAACACCGAUGGCGAAGGCAGCCUGCUGGGCCGGCACUGACGCUGAGGCGCGAAAGCUAGGGGAGCGAACAGG